UUAAAUUAAAACUUGUAGCUACUUUAGUUUUUUCAAUUUAUAAAUCUAGUUUAAAUUAAACUAAAAAGAAAUAUAUCUUUUUUGUAAACAAACACAUUUAACGGCUAAACAGCUGGCUCCGGUUGGAUGAUACUGCGCAGGACGAGUGUAAUAUCCACCACCGUCUCGGAGGUAGGUGUAGAAAAGUGUUACACUUUUUUUCCUACAGCAUUUCAAAGAAACGAGUUGUACGCGUUCUACGACAGAAGUUGAGUGUAUCGUGAAAAAAAGUGUAAACACUAGAAAAACAAAGAAACAAGAAAGUGUAACACUUUUACACUUUUCAAGAACUAGUGUUACACUUAAAACAAAGGAACAGACCUAAUGAGUGUAAAAUGACAGCGGAUGUGACAGCGGCUCAUGACAGCGGACAGUAUUAAACGAAAAUUAUCGGUGUGCCAAUCAAGCAAAGGGACAAGGAACUUCCGAAUAUGGCCUAAGUUGUUCGGUGCUUAGACAAGGAAAGAGAGAGGACGAGUAAUCCUAUGACCAAAAGUGAAGCCAAACUGACACCAGGGAUUUUGAUCAUCGACGUAUCUUUGGGGUAUUGUUAUGCAUUGAGUAUUUAAAAUAAAAACAUGAAAUGUAUUUAAAAUGAAGAAUUUGUGUACGGUAAAUGUUUUAUUAAGUUGCUCAUAUUACCUACAUAUGUUUCAAUACAUACAUAUGUUUUUAUUACGAAUUUUAGAUGAUGAUUUACUUUAUUUUUUAUGAAAUUUUAACCUUCAACGAACACCCACCACUGGCAACCCAUUGUUAUUUUUGACGUGACCGCCAUGUUUCUGGUGACAAACAAACCAAAAACUGGCUUCACUUUUGGAACGUGUAUGUUAAAUGGGUGUUACCCGUCCUCUCUUUUUUCCUUGUCUAAGGUUCGGUGGCCUAACUGGGGGCACAUAACAUAACAUAACCUAAUUAAUCCUAAUAUGUACAUUUGUAAAGAAUAUCCUGUUUGUUUUUAUUGUCGAUUGUGCAGCAAAUCAAAUAUAAAGUAGUUUAUCGCCUACAGAACUGAAUUAGUCCAUAGCAGUUAUCAGUUUUUCUUUCUUGGGAAGCUUAUACAUGUAACUUGUAUUGUUGUAAAUUGUGGGAGUAGGGCAGACAGGGAAAAGUCUUAUUUUGUACUGUUCCCAAGGCUCCCCAUGCAAUACAUUUAAAUGAAUUAUCCAAACAAAGCUGGGGACAAUGGAUAAAAGCCACAAGAAGAACAGAUAUAAGGGAACUAAAAUUAAAAUAUGAAAAGUAAACAUUUUGUAAGUGGAACAACCACCAGAUAUUUAAAAGGUAUAAAAAGAAGAAACUGCUGGAAUUUCAAAACAAAUGUGUUUGACUAGUAAAUAUUUGGAUAAAUAACAGGAGUUACUUUGGGCUAUAGCUACGUGCAGAUUUAUUUCCUUGUGGCUUCCUAUGUUAAUUCUUAUUAAUUAUACACUUAAAUAUGUUUUUAGUCUCAGGAAGAUUUUAUAUUUGAUUAUUUUUGAAUAAACAUUAUUAUUAUUAUUACCUUAAUUUCCAUUAAAUAAAUUAACUGUAAUCAAUAAAGUAAUCGUUUAAUUGUUAAUAAAUUAUCAAGUAUGA